AUUGAACGCUGGCGGCAUGCCUUACACAUGCAAGUCGAACGGUAACAGGUCUUCGGAUGCUGACGAGUGGAGAACGGGUGAGUAAUACAUCGGAACGUGCCCGAUCGUGGGGGAUAACGAAGCGAAAGCUUUGCUAAUACCGCAUACGAUCUACGGAUGAAAGCGGGGGAUCUUCGGACCUCGCGCGGACGGAGCGGCCGAUGGCAGAUUAGGUAGUUGGUGGGAUAAAAGCUUACCAAGCCGACGAUCUGUAGCUGGUCUGAGAGGAUGAUCAGCCACACGGGGACUGGAACACGCCCCAACCCCCAAGGGGGGGAAGAUGUGGGGAAUUUUGGAAAAGGGCGGAAGCCCGGACCCGCCCCGGCCCGGGGGAGAAGAAAGGCCUCGGGGUUUAAAACUCUUUUUGUACGGAACAAAAAGGUCCCUUCUAAUAAAGGGCGCCCAUGCCGGUACCGAAAAAAAAAGCACCGGCUAACAACGU
rnacentral:rRNA from 1 species